AGGUUGGUUGACUUCCUUUCCUGCAUGCCUUCACUAUAUUUUUGGGGGAAGCUGGAAACUUAUGACACCAUCUGCUACUUCAAUCAACAUACAUACUUUGUUUUGUCAAGAGUUUGAUCUUAUCACUUCCCAGUUUCUUCUUCCUCUUUACCAACACAGAGACCAUAUGUUUCUGAUGACUUCUAUAGCUGUGUGCCCGUCUUUACUCUCAUCCAGUGUAACCUUUUCCCAGUUUAAGGAUUUUUCCUGCGUAUUCGUAAGAUUGUGGUAGGAGGCUCCUUUUCCUUAAUUUCCUGCAACUUUUUUUAGAGUUAGCGUCGACUCACUUUCAAAGGUGGUGGUGCCGGUGGGGGUGUCCUUUCUUUCUUUAUUUCUUUCUUCUCUGUUCACCAAGUGGAACGUUUUCUCCCUACUUACUGGCUGCCCUCAUAUUCAUCCAAAUCCAUACUGGUGUGAUUUUUUGGUCCAUAGAUCGGUUUGUCCUUGUAUUUAUGGGACCACACCAGGUUUAUCGUCCAAAGUGGUCUCCCUCUCUGUCAUAAAAAUGUAAAAAGAAAAACUAAAAACUUUAGUCUGUUCAUUCAAAUCUGCUGCAAUCUUUCGCAAACAGCGAUUUUAAUACUAUGUUAUUGAUUGCAAUUUGCAAGUAGAUAUUAUUCCUUAAAAACACGCAUGAUUCACCAAAAUGUUUAAUCAGUCUUGCUAUGACCAGUUCUUGAGAUUGAGGACAAUACUACAAUACAUUUGUUUAGACCAAUUUAUAUGAAAGGAAGGCAAAAGGAACGAAAUCAACCUUACUAUCCAAUCGUAAUAUGUUGCAGAAUCUCCAAAAGAGCAAUGCACAUCAGAUAAACCAAGGAAGGACAUGCGGAAACUGCCUUCCAAUCCUGAAGAAGUAGAAGACUUUCGCCGCGAUUCAGCAGCCAAUCCUUUAGUUGCA
rnacentral:lncRNA from 1 species